rnacentral:rRNA from 1 species
CCUACGGGGUGCUGCAGUGGGGAAUCUUGCACAAUGGGGGAAACCCUGAUGCAGCGACGCCGCGUGAGUGAAGAAGUAUUUCGGUAUGUAAAGCUCUAUCAGCAGGGAAGAAAAUGACGGUACCUGACUAAGAAGCCCCGUCUAACUACGUGCCAGCAGCCGCGGUAAUACGUAGGGGGCAAGCGUUAUCCGGAUUUACUGGGGGUAAAGGGAGCGUAGACGGUGAUGCAAGUCAGAAGUGAAAGCCCGGGGCUCAACUCCGGGACUGCUUUUGAAACUGGGUGUCUGGAGUGGGGGAGAGGUAAGCGGAAUGCCCGGUGUAGCGGUGAAAUGCGUAGAUAUCAGGAGGAACACCAGUGGCGAAGGCGGCUGACUGGACGGUGACUGACGCUGAGGCUCGAAAGCGUGGGGAGCAAACAGGAUUAGAUACCCCUGUAGUC